UACAGACUUCUGGCUACAUUUUAUAGUU
rnacentral:piRNA from 1 species